rnacentral:lncRNA from 1 species
AUGUGGAUACAAGAAAUCAAGAAUAACCCAUUUUUCUUGAAUUGGGAAGAAAAGCUAUGGUAGAUUUGAAGUUCCUCCCAGAAUGUUAUUUUUGGGUUUUCGGCUGAGGUGUUUGGCUUCAAGAUGGAUUCCUAAAAUUCGGGAAAAUCACCUAAAUUCAUAUUUGAGGAAGAAGUGUUUUACCAAGUUAUGACCAAACAUAUGUCCUAGUGGAAAAGAAAAGUUUUUUCACAAGGCAUGCAUUUUCACUUUAUUCAAUAAUUCAAACUAAAAUGCAAAAGCAUCCAAACAAGCACAACAUUUAGGUCAUUACACUUUUCCCUUUCCUCUCCUAUUUUCUAGUUUCCAACACUAAACACGGUCUAAGAUAUGGUAAUGUAUUCAACAAGUCCCACAACCUCAACCAAAGAGUAUUUAUCAUAUCUGAUUUUUCACCAACCCGCACAUAGCAUAAAUUGCAAGUACAUUUGUGCAUGGCAAGAUUACAUGACCACUCAAAAACCGCUACUGCAUCU